CCCUGAAUGCCUAUUGUACAUUGACUUGCUUUCCUUGUUCAUUGGAGGAAUGGAAUGUGACUUAGUCAUUUAAUCUCCAAACUAACACUGGGCAAAAUCCUCUUUUCUACAGUAGUUAGAUAAUCGACAAGGAAGUAAACAGACAUGGGUAGCAAAUUGGGAAGACGGGUCAUCCAGUUUGCUAAUCUCCCCAUUAUGGUUCUCAUGCCCUCAUCUUUUAGCAACAUUAAAGAAAUUGCUCUCAAAACUAUCCCUUCAGCUUCUAAGAUUGAAAUCAAGAGAGUUCUUGAAUCAUUGUAUGGGUUUGAAGUUGAAAAGGUCCAAACCCUAAACAUGGAAGG